GGCUGAUCUGAGUGCAAUGGUGUUUACAACUAAUCAAUCACAACCAGUUACAGACAUCUUUGUUCCUUCUCCAUUCUCAUUGCUCCACUUGACUAGCCUUAA
ensembl:misc_RNA Y_RNA Y RNA